rnacentral:rRNA from 1 species
GUAAGUGGCGAACGGGUGAGUAACACGUGAAUAACCUACCUCAAAGUCUGGGAUAACCAUUGGAAACAGUGACUAAUACCGGAUAAAACCCAAGUGCACAUGCACUAAGGUUAAAAGCUGCGUUUGCAGCGCUUUAAGAUGGAUUCGCGGUGCAUUAGUUAGUUGGUGAGGUAAAGGCUCACCAAGACGAUGAUGCAUAGCCGAGUUGAGAGACUGACCGGCCACAUUGGGACUGAGACACGGCCCAAACUCCUACGGGAGGCUGCAGUAGGGAAUCUUCCACAAUGGGCGCAAGCCUGAUGGAGCAACGCCGCGUGUGUGAUGAAGGCUUUCGGGUCGUAAAGCACUGUUGUAUGGGAAGAACGGGUUUAAGAGGAAAUGCUUAAACAGUGACGGUACCAUACCAGAAAGGGACGGCUAAAUACGUGCCAGCAGCCGCGGUAAUACGUAUGUCCCGAGCGUUAUCCGGAUUUAUUGGGCGUAAAGCGAGCGCAGACGGUU